AGUUGGGAGAAAGCGCCAGAGUCUAAUAUGGGAUUUCUUCGAAUACGACGGCGAGAAAGACAAAAGCAAGUGCCUUGUAGUGGAAACAGGUGAUCAAAUAUGUGGAAUACAUCUCAAGGGAAAGAGAACAAACAAAACACGAAUCUUAAAGUCCAUUUGAGAAGCUCGCACAAGAAUGCUAAUCGCGGGUACCUUGACAAAGUGGCCUCUCUUAAUUGCUCCCCUGAAAGAGAAGCAACAUCCCGGCCAGUCAGCACGGAAGCAGGAAGGAGGAGACAACCAUAACGGACUGCUUUCACCGACGACCAAACAGCUGCUGGUUAGUAAACUCGCAUGAACACCACAAGCGUGAAGAUGCACUCGUAAAUGUGUUUAUUGAGACUGGUAUGUCUACAAGACUGUGUUGCCCUCAAAAAGUUUAGCUUUUCACUCGAGCCAAAAUUCAAAUCACCCGGAGCUGCACGAGUGAAUAAACUUAUUGGAGCCAAGAUGGAGAAGGCAAAGCACAAAUUGAAAGAGAUCAUAAAAGACGCAAGGAAGCUGACCCUCUGUGUGGAUGGUUGGAGCAAGAGAGGAUUAAUAGCAUCCUUGAUGGGUGUGUCAGCAUCCACCUGGAGGCCAGGUUCACUAUGCUCUGCUUCACCGAGGCCAUUGCUCGCUGCAGUGAUGAGAUACUAGAAGCAUGGGGUAUAGGAGAAGACAAGGUGCUGCUCAUUGUGACAGAUAACGGCUCCAACAUAAUCAAAGCUGUGCAGCUGCUUGGAGAUAGAAGCCAAGUAGGAAGUGAGGAGUCCACAGGCGGUUCACAGGCUCAGCCAGGAGGUGCUGAAGAUGGUCUGGAUGACCUGUGGAUCGAAUCAGAGUCAGAGGAGACAGACGAGGAGGAUGGAGAGACUGGAGACCUCGAAAUGGACGAGAUGGCUUAAAACAAUCACCAGCAACGACUAAGAAAGAAAAUGUUUGUUUGUUAAACAGCUUCUAGUUCCUGACAUCUGCAAUACUGAGUGAGAGAAUAGCCAGAUAAAAGAAGCAUAUCACCACGUUUCCGAAAAGCACAGAAGAACAAGACGGCGAUAUCCAGAUGCCACUGAGAUGCACUGAAAUUCAAGUGCUGAGGAGAACCCACACUCAGCAACCUGUCAUCAACUUUUGAUUAUUUCCCAAUGGCAGCACACGGCCCCGGUGCAAGUCUUCUUAAGUUCGACACAACUCUUGAUGUGUGUGUAGUGCAGAGCUUUGUUUUCUCGCUCGGUUAUUCAUCUCUCUCAGUCUGAAAGAAUUCAAGAUGGUGCUUGUGUGUGCUCAGGAGGUUGGCGUGGACUCGCUUCAGCAGGACCCCUGACAGCAGGUCCUCUGUGUGGAGCUGAGCCGGGGUCCUCGCUCCUAAUGAGGCCUCCUUUCUCUCCUUCCACCCUCCCUUCUCUUAUUCUCCUUUGCUCCUUUACUUCUUUUAUCCUUCACUCUCCUUCCACCCCUUCGUAUCCCCCCUCUUUUCAUCUUGCUCCUUGCCCUUCCACACUCCUUCACUGUGUCCUCUUUUUUUCCCGCAUUCGCUCGUCUCCUGUCCUUUCCCAGCCUCUACCCACCUCUCCUCUCUUUUUCUUUCAUCCGUCGUCAACUCUAAGCUGUACCUCCUCUUGUCUUUCUUGAAUCCCCACCCCCUGGCCUUGCAUUUAAAUAAUAUGAAAAUGAAUGAAUAAAAGUGAAAUGAUAAUUUAAUGUAUGCACCUCUUUGAAGUUACUGUAAGUCACUCCUGAUAGGAGCGUGGAGCAAAUGUGUAAAA